UGCGUAGGCGGAUUAAUAAGUCAGUGGUGAAAACCUGCAGCUUAACUGCAGACCUGCCAUUGAUACUGUUAGUCUUGAGUACUGUCAAGGUAGGCGGAAUGUGUAAUGUAGCGGUGAAAUGCUUAGAUAUUACACAGAACACCGAUUGCGAAGGCAGCUUACUGGGCCAUUACUGACGCUGAGGCACGAAAGCGUGGGGAGCGAACAGGAUUAGAUACCCUGGUAGUCC
rnacentral:rRNA from 1 species